UGGGGAAUCUUGCGCAAUGGGGGCAACCCUGACGCAGCCAUACCGCGUGUGCGAUGAAGGCCCUCGGGUUGUAAAGCACUUUUGGCGGGGACGACGAUGACGGUACCCGCAGAAUAAGUCACGGCUAACUUCGUGCCAGCAGCCGCGGUAAUACGAAGGUGGCGAAUGAUGCUCGGAUUCACUGGGCGUAAAGCGUUGGUAGGUGGUUAAGUAAGUUAGAGGUGAAAGCCCCGUGCUCAACAUGGGAAUUGCCUUUAAAACUGCUAAACUAGAAUGUGGAAGAGGAUGGUAGAAUUGCUGGUGUAGAGGUAAAAUUCGUAGAUAUCAGCAGGAAUACCCAUGGCGAAGGCAGCCAUCUGGUCCAUUAUUGACACUGAGCAACGAAAGCGUGGGGAGCAAA
rnacentral:rRNA from 1 species